AGUUUUGCAUCUUUUAACACCCUUGAAACUAGCCCACUGUGCAAGCAACACUCAUAUUCCUCAUUCAUCUUGCUCAGCCCGCACAAUUGGCUGCCAAAAGUAUUGCCACACCAGUGUCGGCGACUUCGUCCUUUCACUUGAACGCCGAAAGUGAGGCAGUCUGGCAGCCUCUACUUUUCUGGUCCCGGUCCCCAGUGAGGUUCUUCUUCUGUUACGCUGCUGUUAUCCUGCAGACCGCGAGGGUCCUGAGAAAUGACACCCAUGAGUUCAGGAUGAAUACGACGCCAAGGCAGCCACCCAAUCCUCCAUUUCGCACAUACAUAUGUACAUACAUCGCACAUACGUAGAGUGUACAUAUGUAAAUAUGCUCGUCUGUUGGACAUUUGCACUGUUUUUUUUUACCAACGAACGGACGCGGAGGGUUUACAGCCAAAUGACAAGUGCUUAGUGUUUUGCAUAUGCGUGUGAGCGUGCACUGAGAAAAAAUUAGUUAUAGAAUUUUAUAUUUUGUUCGUAUAAGUUGAUAGAAACUGAUAAAAAAGCUAAAUUAUUAUAUGUGUCGAAUUUAGCGGCUUGAUUCCCCCAUUCUCAUUAUUCAAGCUGGAAAAUGGGCAGCUCCGUGGAUGGGGACAAGUGUUUGGAGCACUUGGCGCACGCUUGCGCGGCUUUCAAAUUUAGCGUAUUAACUCAUUAAAUGUUCAAAAGCUCAUUGCCUGCGAAAUGUGCACACUUUUCUGUGAGUGCGAGCGAGGGUGUGAAAUAUGCACAAGUAUAUGACACUUUGGCACCGAGGGGAAGACAGUUUUAAUACCGCUUAAUGGGCAAUCGGGCGGAAGAAGCUUUAAAUAAAUAGAAUUCCUUAUACUCCUAACAAUAUCAACAUUUUUAAUUAAAUUUAUAAUGACCAUGGAACGCUCGGGGACCUAACAAUGUAGUGGCUUAACUGGGCCUUAUUUCAACACCCUCAACCGCACCGAGUGACCGCUGGCAGCAGUUGGCGUUACGCAUACGCCACGUUGCAUGCGUCUUAAAUAUUUGAUGGCGGAAAUCUGGGGCCCGGCAAAAAUGACAGCUGCGUGUUGAAAAUAAUUAAGGCGCAAUUAUAAUGACCCUGGCCACGAACCGCAGGCACUCACCACCACCCAUCAGCACCGUUGAAGCCACCCCCAUCCGCUCGCCUGUUGGCAUUGCAAUGUGUUGCAUGCAACACUAGACUUUGUGGCGUCGCCAACAAUGACGAAAGCAAUCCAUGGCCAUCGAGCUUGUGCGCUCUGGCAGGUUCUCAUUCCACUACUUAUGCAAAUUGAUGCGAAAUGUGGGCUAAGAUUUAUGCUUAAAUCUUUGGAAGGACAUUCUGCAAAUAUUUGCCCGAAGAAAUAAUUCUAAUAUUCUUAUUCUCUUUGCGGGAAACACGUUUUACUCAAUUUGUUGUUGGACAGCAAUACACGAUCACCGACGACAUCCUUUAAAUAAAUACAAUAUACAAAGUACAAUAAAUAA